rnacentral:rRNA from 1 species
CCUACGGGUGGCAGCAGUGAGGAAUAUUGGUCAAUGGGCGCAAGUCUGAACCAGCCAAGUAGCGUGAAGGAUGACUGCUCUAUGGGUUGUAAACUUCUUUUAUACAGGAAUAAAGUGAGCCACGUGUGCCUUUUUGUAUGUACUUUAUGAAUAAGGAUCGGCUAACUCCGUGCCAGCAGCCGCGGUAAUACGGAGGAUCCGAGCGUUAUCCGGAUUUAUUGGGUUUAAAGGGUGCGUAGGUGGGUUGUUAAGUCAGUUGUGAAAGUUUGCGGCUCAACCGUAAAAUUGCAAUUGAUACUGGUAGCCUUGAGUGUAGUUGAGGUAGGCGGAAUGCGUGGUGUAGCGGUGAAAUGCUUAGAGAUCACGAAGAACUCCGAUUGCGAAGGCAGCUUACUAAACUAUCACUGACAUUGAUGCUCGAAAGUGUGGGGAUCAAACAGGAUUAGAUACCCGUGUAGUC